CCAGCAGGUAAUUCACAAAAAUGGUGACUCAUGACUAGAAGCUAACACGUGAAGAUACUCUGCACUCCCCCACCUCUCCAAACAAGGAUCUGCUGGCAGACAGUGCUCGGCUGCCACUUCCCUCGGAUACAAAUGACUUGUCCCUAAUAAGCCUACUGUUAAUCAGCACUGCAUUGAUGUGGGAUGAAAAUAGAUUUAAGUCUGAGAAGAGAGACACCUGGAUGAUACACUUAGAGGAGUAAGUUCAGUGUUCCUUCUAACAGAGCUUGAGAGUUUGAAAAAUGAAGCUGCACU
rnacentral:lncRNA from 1 species